CUAAGUUUGAUGGCGACCGGCGCACGGGUGAGUAACACGUAUCCAACCUGCCGAUGACUCGGGGAUAGCCUUUCGAAAGAAAGAUUAAUACCCGAUGGCAUAGUUCUUCCGCAUGGUAGAACUAUUAAAGAAUUUCGGUUAUCGAUGGGGAUGCGUUCCAUUAGGCAGUUGGUGGGGUAACGGCCCACCAAACCUUCGAUGGAUAGGGGUUCUGAGAGGAAGGUCCCCCACAUUGGAACUGAGACACGGUCCAAACUCCUACGGGAGGCAGCAUG
rnacentral:rRNA from 1 species